rnacentral:rRNA from 1 species
UACGGCUACCACAUCUAAGGAAGGCAGCAGGCGCGUAAAUUACCCAAUCCUGACUUAGGGAGGUAGUGACAAGAAAUAGCAAACCGGGAACCUCAUGGUUUCACGGUAUUGCAAUGAGAACAAUUUAAAACCCUUAGCGAGAAUCAAGUGGAGGACAAGUCUGGUGCCAGCACCCGCGGUAAUUCCAGCUCCACUAGCGUAUAUUAAAGUUGUUGCAGUUAAAAAGCUCGUAGUUGAACCUCUGUCUGGGGCUAGUUUUGGCUUUGGUCAGGCUAGUUCUAGGCAUCCGCCUACAAGACUUAGAGGGCAUUCAGUUGUUCACUAGGAGGAGUAGGCAUUUUACUUUGAAAAAAUUAGAGUGUUUAAGGCAGGCAAUCGCCCGCAUAUAUUAGCAUGGAAUAAUAGAAUAGGACACUUUUCCAUUUCGUUGGUUAUUGGAAUCGUGUAAUGAUUAAUAGGGACAGUUGUGGGCAUUUGUAUUUAAUUGUCAGAGGUGAAAUUCUUGGAUUUAUUAAAGACAAACUAACGCGAAAGCAUUUGCCAAGGAUGUUUUCAUUAAUCAAGAACGAAAGUUAGGGGAUCAAAGACGAUCAGAUACCGUCCUAGUCCUAACUAUAAACUAUUCCGACUCAAUGUUUGACUGGCUUAUAUAACCAGUUGAGCGUUGUAUGAGAAAUCAAAGUCUUUAGGUUCUGGGGGGAGUAUGGUUGCAAAGCUGAAACUUAAAGGAAUUGACGGAAGAGCACAACCAGGAGUGGAUUCUGCGGCUUAAUUUGACUCAACACGGGGAAACUUACCAGGUUAAAACAAUAGUGGGAUUGACAGUUUGAGGGCGCUUUCUUGAUUGGUUGGGUGGUGGUGCAUGGCCGUUCUUAGUUGGUGGAGUGAUUUGUCUGCUUAAUUGCGUUAACGAACGAGACCUUAACCUGCUUACUAGACUGGCGAUCAUCAAUCGUUAGCUCUUCUUAGAGGGACUUUGGUUGUUUUAACUCCAAGGAAGUUUGAGGCAAUAACAGGUCUGUGAUGCCCUUAGAUAUCCUGGGCCGCACGCGUCAUACAAUGACUAGUUCAGAAAGUUUUCUCCUGACCCGAAAGGGGAUGGGUAAUCUUGAUAAUACUAGUCGUGUUAGGGAUCGAUCUUUGCAAUUAUAGAUCUUGAACGAGGAAUUCCUAGUAAGUGCGGUUCAUCAGACCGUACUGAUUACGUCCCUGCUCUUUGUACACACCGCCCGUCGCUUCUACCGAGUGGGUGGUCCGGUGAGAUAAUUGAACUUCGCAGGUAACUGAGAGGAAAGAUUAUCAAACCUAUCCACCUCGAGGAAGAAGAAGUCGUAACAAGGUU